rnacentral:rRNA from 1 species
UACGAAGGGGGCUAGCGUUGCUCGGAAUUACUGGGCGUAAAGGGCGCGUAGGCGGUCCGCUAAGUUCGGCGUGAAAUCCCCUGGCUCAACUGGGGAACUGCGCUGGAUACUGGUGGACUCGAGUACCGGAGAGGAGAGUGGAAUUCCUGGUGUAGCGGUGAAAUGCGUAGAUAUCUGGAGGAACACCGGUGGCGAAGGCGGCAUCCUGGACCGGCAUUGACGCUGAGGAGCGAAAGCCAGGGGAGCAAACGGG